AUUGAACGCUGGCGGCAGGCCUAACACAUGCAAGUCGAACGAGUGGCGGACGGGUGAGUAAUGUAUGGGAAACUGCCCGACGGAGGGGGAUAACUACUGGAAACGGUAGCUAAUACCGCAUACCAUCGGCUCGGCCCAGAUGGGAGUAGCUAGUAGGUGGGGUAAUGGCUCACCUAGGCGACGAUCCCUAGCUGGUCUGAGAGGAUGACCGGCCACACUGGAACUGAGACACGGUCCAGACUCCUACGGGAGGCAGCAGUGGGGAAUAUUGGACAAUGGGCGCAAGCCUGAUGCAGCCAUGCCGCGUGUAUGAAGAAGGCCUUCGGGUUGUAAAGUACUUUCAGCGAGGAGGCGUUACUCACAGAGGAAGCACCGGCUAACUCCGUGCCAGCCGCCGCGGUAAUUC
rnacentral:rRNA from 1 species